rnacentral:tRNA from 5 species
GCCAGCGUAGCUCAGUUGGUAGAGCCACGGUUUUGUAAACCGUAGGUCACCGGUUCGAGUCCGGUCGCUGGCU